GUACAUUUACCAUCCAGGAUGUCCGGAGCAAAGAAAAAUACACGGAGCAGAAGAAAACAGGAAUAGAAACACAGCCUGUUAAGUGUGGGUGCUUGACAGAGCUUCCUAACGCUUAGCAUAAUACGUGCACUAUUACAGCAUUUCUAUAAAUCACGUGGCAAGACCUUCCAAGGUUGUGCAUUAUUUAGGCAUCUCGUCAUUCACUUCCUUGAUGAAUCUUAAGCUGAUGGAAAUGAUUAAUAUCUGAAAAAGAACAAAGCCAAAUUGGAAGAUAUUUGCCCUCAAAUGCAAGACUUUUCUCACUGUAGGAAAACACUUGUUGCCUAACUCCUCUGAGCUGCUGUAGGUACCUAAGCCUAUUCCAGAUUUGAUAAGAGGGCAAGUAAUACCCUCACAAAAACUGUGCUGCUUCUUCAGCAAGUUCACAAUGCCCUCCAUGAACAUAUAAAGGACAGACUACAGAAAUUUCAGCACAGACCUACAAGCUUAUAGUGGCGCUGUUUGCUUUGCAAAGUUAAUUAACUCCCUGCAAUGCAACUCAGUAAAAGCCACGCUCUUGGAGGAUAAAUCCUGGAGAAAACUGAAGGGGACUCUGUUGCCUGUCCAGUUCAGUAGACAUCAGGGAUCCACAUCUUCACAGCUAUGGGGAAGAAGUAUUCACCCACACUAACUUUUAAAGCUUUCUUUCAGCACAGCCACCAUUUCCAUGUUGCAAACUGACCUAGUGGUUCAUGGAGGAAGUUGUGACAUAACCAAGUUAGAACAACAGGGUGAGACCAAAGCUUUCUCUGUACCCUCAGCGUACAAUGUCUGAAGCCAUUUGCUGGGCGAUGGAGGGGAGAAUAGAAGGAACAGAUAGGAGGUAGGAAUGUCUAGUAGUGGGAACCAAGAGCUGGCAGCAGAAAAGCAAACCAUACAUCUCAGAGUCAUCAUACAUCUCCCAUUUGCUAAAGGGGAACAAGAAAUUUAUCUGGAGGGAUCAAGAAAGAUUUGAGAAACCAAGCUUCUUCAUCAAGAGAGAAGCUACACAAGCAUAUAUAAAUAUAUAUAUUUAUCAUUUAUAUAUCUUUAUAUAAAUAUAUGUUUAUAUAUAAAUAUAUAUAUGAAUACAAGUAUGAGUAGCAUUAUAAAAGGUCACAUGCCGAGCAGCCACAUAAAUACCAAAUACUAUUCUCAAUAUCCUUGAACUUCAAACAGUGCAAUUCACCCAGCACCAGCUGGUAAGCACUUUUGUUUGUUUUCCUGUGUGUGUUCCUUUCCAAGAGAUGAGAUGCUCAAUUCUGCUGAAGGCCAGCAGUGAAACUGUAAUUACAGCGGUGUUCAAAUGAAGCAAACUGGGAAUCUUUCCAGACUCUCAUCCUUAAAACACGCAAGUAACCUAGAAAGUUAGAUAGGGACUCAUGAGAACAAGAGGGUAUAUAUUGGGAAAAGGAGGCAUGUAUUUGUUUUCUGAGUAAGUUCUUCUCCCCUUACCAGUAAACAACUUAAAAUUUAAUUUAGCAAAGUAGAUCGUGUUCCAUCUUGGGGUUCCAGGCAAACCUAUGACAGCUGAUGAGUCCAGAGGGCUAUCUGCACGUCUUACUAGUCCAGAAGCCACAAACACUCUUCUAGUACUUCAGGACCAUUCUAGUUCUGUUUCACAAGAGACUACAGACUAUAGAAUACGGCACCUCAGAAAACUAACAGAUUAAAGUGGCGUUGAAGAUGGUAUCUUCAGCAGACGGGAACUCUGCCUCCUCCUCCCCGCCCCUUGCCUCUCCCCAUGCUCACCCAACAUGGGAAUGUCCCUGCCAGGGCUUCUGAGGGCCACUUCCAGCAGGUGGAUGUGACGUGGAUAACCCGGGGAGCAGCAAUAUUUUCCAGCAGCUGUACACAAAGAACCCACUGAUGACACCUUAAGUUCCAUAGUAUCAUUACGGUUUCUCUGAAUCACACCCCCACUGCAAUUAUCGCUCUUGCCCUAGCUCUUACACGAUAGGAGAGCAGCAGCUAGGUCAGACGUGGAAUCUGACAGAGCAAGUCGCUUCCCACCUGAGUGAAAUUCAUUCCUAAAGUCUAGAUAUUGUUUGAAUUUGUCUGAAGGGAAGCGUUUGUGUGAGAAGUGCAAGUAUAAAAUACUUCCCCAUUUCAGUUCACAGUGUGUGGCAAAACAGAACACACCAACGUGGAACACUUCAUUUGCCCCUGUGAAUAUUUUGCACAGUAUUUUACAUAGAUUUCUUUUAAGAGUGGAAUGCUUAGAACAUCUGAUGCAGCGUAAGCAUUCUUAACGACAACAGACUGAUCUGUGGCCUACCCAAAUAGCCACUUCUUCCUUCUCCCUUCAAUCCCCCCUCUUUUUACUCGUAAGAAAGGGAAAAUUUAGAUGUCAAAUUGAGUAGUGCAGUUUUUACAGACAAAUUAAACGUAGGAGUGCAGUUGUUUUCCCAUUAGUAAGAAGGAACGGGAGUUGCAGUUUUGCAUUUCAAUAUUAAUAGGUACUUCCUGGAACCUCAACAACUCGGAAACGCCACGAACAGGGAAUCAAGCAAUUUAAAAGUGAAGCUGAACGCAUGGAUUCUCACAAACAACAGGAAGGAAAAACACUGCUUCUUUUCCAACCCGUUACUUCUCUCAGCCGACGCAGCGGCAUCACGCGUGGAGAACAUUGUGUAUAGCACAGAAAUACUACAAACAUCCUGUGCAGACUACAACGUUUGCUUCCUCCAUAGCCGCGAGUGAGACGGGACUUCAAGGAUAAACCUUACGAGGUGGGAAAACAGUCUCAGGAACAGGUUCGGAGCUUUGGUUGUGGGAUUGCUUCACUCUAGCACACAGCCAUACAGGAGCCUGAAGACUUCAGUAACACUACGGCCGAACUGACUGAAGGAAAACGAACUCUCAAAGCAGAGCGUUUCAUCCUCAGCAGGAGAUGGAUCGCGGACAGCCAUGGGCUCACGCCUCCUCCCACCGCUCCUAUAGGAACAGGGUAACCCGUCUGGGUUUUGCUGCCACUGUGUGGCCGUCGAGAGAAAGGAUGUUCGGGACACUGUCGUAUAGUUACUCUAUUUUUAUUGUAAAGCCUGGAAGAACUUACAGCAUCCUUAUACUACAGCGUUGCACCCUGGAUGCAUACACAUCCCUGUAGCUAUAUAGGUACAAAUUGCCUCUAAGAUGGAACUAGAGGCUUGAUCUUAGAGAACUCCUGUCCCAAGAGAUGUUGGCAGUUUGUCCUUCUCCCUGAAAGGUAAAGCUUACAGUUAUCAUCAGGCAGCUCCAGCUAAACAUUGCUUU
ensembl:lncRNA